GCCAACCCUGUCUGGUGCCACCCGGCAGUUUUUUCUGCCUUCUCUCUCGCUAACACAACUUGGGUUUUGUUCAAGGGCAACAGCCCAGUCCUGCCCCAGGCCUGGGGGGCAGUCUGGGUCUGUCUGAACCAACCAUGGCGUUACAGGACUUUGGGAGCGACCUGUCCUGUGGUCUUGGCCUUCUGGCCUAAGACUCCAGCUGAGGACCAUGGCUGACGGGGGCCGCCCACAUUCUGACAGGGCCCUGUGGAGCUCUGGGCGUCUGUGUGGGCUGAGCAAAGGGGCAGAAAGUCUCCCCUGCGCCACCAGUUCACACAAGCGAACAGGAAAUGUGGACUCUCUCUGGGAAGGGGGAGCCAAGUGGCCGGCAUUGGCCGGCGCAGGAGUCUGUGGAGAGGAUGGGUGGCCUAUGUCGGUCAGAGAGCCCGGAGCCCCAGCCCGGCGACGGUGACUGCCGCCAGAAGCAAGCGGCAUCACCGAGCAGCAGAGCCUGCCAGCCACCCUAGCCUUCCUCCACGGAGCCCGCUUCUCCUCAGGCGGGGAGGGCUUGGCAGGCGAGGACUAUGCCUUUCCUCUGGGACAAGUGGGCACUUGGGAAGGCAUCGGGCCCGGGGCCGCCUCCGUGCCAGGCAGCCUGCCAGGGAGGGGCCCAGAGGCAGAGGGCGAGGGUGCACAGGAGCGAGGGCCCAUCGGCGCCUACGGGAAACCAGUCAACUCCAAGAACCAGAGCUUGCUGACCGUGUCAUGCUGUGACCUCAAGCAGCCGGUGAGGAAGGGCUGAAUGAAUGGAUGGA
rnacentral:lncRNA from 1 species